rnacentral:rRNA from 1 species
CAGUAGCCGCGGGAAUACAGAGGAUGCAAGCGUUAUCCGGAAUGAUUGGGCGUAAGGCGUCUGUAGGUGGCUUUUCAAGUCCGCCGUCAAAUCCCAGGGCUCAACCCUGGACAGGCGGUGGAAACUACCAAGCUGGAGUACGGUAGGGGCAGAGGGAAUUUCCGGUGGAGCGGUGAAAUGCGUAGAUAUGCGGAGGAACACCGAUGGCGAAGGCAGCCCCCCUGGGCCAAUACUGACGCUCAUGCACGAAAGCGUGGGGAGCAAACAGGAUUAGAUACCCCCGUAGUCCCUGUCUCUUAUA